CCUACGGGUGGCUGCAGUGGGGAAUAUUGGACAAUGGGGGAACCCUGAUCCAGCCAUGCCGCGUGUGUGAAGAAGGCCCUCGGGUUGUAAAGCACUUUCAGUGAGGAAGAACGCCUGGUGGUUAAUACCCAUCAGGAAAGACAUCACUCACAGAAGAAGCACCGGCUAACUCCGUGCCAGCAGCCGCGGUAAUACGGAGGGUGCGAGCGUUAAUCGGAAUUACUGGGCGUAAAGCGCGCGUAGGUGGCUUGAUAAGCCGGUUGUGAAAGCCCCGGGCUCAACCUGGGAACGGCAUCCGGAACUGUCAAGCUAGAGUGCAGGAGAGGAAGGUAGAAUUCCCGGUGUAGCGGUGAAAUGCGUAGAGAUCGGGAGGAAUACCAGUGGCGAAGGCGGCCUUCUGGACUGACACUGACACUGAGGUGCGAAAGCGUGGGUAGCAAACAGGAUUAGAUACCCGUGUAGUC
rnacentral:rRNA from 1 species